UGAUGCAAUAGGUAGCAUGUCAGUCUCACAAGCUGAAGGUCCUGAGUUUGAUCCUCAG
rnacentral:tRNA from 1 species